GAAUUCGAUUAGAGUUUGAUCAUGGCUCAGAACGUACGCUGGCGGCACGCCUAACACAUGCAAGUCGAACGAAGUAGCAAUACUUAGUGGCAGACGGGUGAGUAACAUGUAGGUAUCUGCCCUUUGGCCUGGAAUAACACGAGGAAACUUGUGCUAAUACCGGAUAAGUCUUUACAGAGAAAGCUUUAUGCACCAUUGGAUGAGCCUGCACUUGAUUAGUUUGUUGGUGGGGUAAUGGCCUACCAAGACUGUGAUCAAUAGCUGAUUUGAGAGGAUGAUCAGCCACAUUGGGACUGAGACACGGCCCAAACUCCUACGGGAGGCAGCAGUGGGGAAUCUUGCACAAUGGAGGAAACUCUGAUGCAGCGAUGCCGCGUGAGUGAAGAAGGCCUUUGGGUUGUAAAGCUCUUUCGUCGGGGAAGAAAAUGACUGUACCCGAAUAAGAAGGUCCGGCUAACUUCGUGCCAGCAGCCGCGGUAAUACGAAGGGACCUAGCGUAGUUCGGAAUUACUGGGCUUAAAGAGUUCGUAGGUGGUUGAAAAAGUUGGUGGUGAAAUCCCAGAGCUUAACUCUGGAACUGCCAUCAAAACUUUUCAGCUAGAGUAUGAUAGAGGAAAGCAGAAUUUCUAGUGUAGAGGUGAAAUUCGUAGAUAUUAGAAAGAAUACCAAUUGCGAAGGCAGCUUUCUGGAUCAUAACUGACACUGAGGAACGAAAGCAUGGGUAGCGAAGAGGAUUAGAUACCCUCGUAGUCCAUGCCGUAAACGAUGUGUGUUAGACGUUGGAAAUUUAUUUUCAGUGUCGCAGCGAAAGCGAUAAACACACCGCCUGGGGAGUACGACCGCAAGAUUAAAACUCAAAUGAAUUGACGGGGACCCGCACAAGUAGUGGAGCAUGUGGUUUAAUUCGAAGAUACGCGCAGAACCUUACCAACACUUGACAUGUUCGUCGCGACUCUAAGAGAUUAGAGUUUUCGGUUCGGCCGGACGAAACACAGGUGCUGCAUGGCUGUCGUCAGCUCGUGUCGUGAGAUGUUGGGUUAAGUCCCGCAACGAGCGCAACCCUCACUUUUAGUUGCCAUCAUUUAGUUGGGCACUCUGAAAGAACUGCCAGUGAUAAGCUGAAGGAAGGUGGGGAUGACGUCAAGUCCUCAUGGCCCUUACGUGUUGGGCUACACACGUGCUACAAUGGUAUCUACAACAGGAAGCAAAACUGCGAGGUUAAGCAAAUCCUUAAAAGAUACCUCAGUUCGGAUUGCACUCUGCAACUCGGGUGCAUGAAGCUGGAAUUACUAGUAAUCGUGGAUCAGCGUGCCACGGUGAAUGCGUUCCCGGGUCUUGUACACACCGCCCGUAA
rnacentral:rRNA from 1 species